rnacentral:rRNA from 1 species
UACGUAGGUGGCGAGCGUUGUCCGGAUUUACUGGGCGUAAAGAGCGCGCAGGCGGUUGGAUAAGUCGAAUGUGAAAGCCCCCGGCUCAACUGGGGAGGGUCAUUCGAUACUGUCCGACUCGAAGGCAGGAGAGGGAAGCGGAAUUCCCGGUGUAGUGGUGAAAUGCGUAGAUAUCUGAAGGAACAUCAGUGGCGAAAGCGACUUCCUGGACCAAUACUGACGCUCAUGUGCGAAAGCGUGGGGAGCAAACAGG